AGGAAUAUUGGUCAAUGGGCGAGAGCCUGAACCAGCCAAGUAGCGUGCAGGAUGACGGCCCUAUGGGUUGUAAACUGCUUUUAUAAGGGAAUAAAGUGAGUCUCGUGAGACUUUUUGCAUGUACCUUAUGAAUAAGGACCGGCUAAUUCCGUGCCAGCAGCCGCGGUAAUACGGAAGGUCCGGGCGUUAUCCGGAUUUAUUGGGUUUAAAGGGAGCGUAGGCCGGAGAUUAAGCGUGUUGUGAAAUGUAGACGCUCAACGUCUGCACUGCAGCGCGAACUGGUUUCCUUGAGUACGCACAAAGUGGGCGGAAUUCGUGGUGUAGCGGUGAAAUGCUUAGAUAUCACGAAGAACUCCGAUUGCGAAGGCAGCUCACUGGAGCGCAACUGACGCUGAAGCUCGAAAGUGCGGGUAUCGAACAGGAUUAGAUACCCUGGUAGUCCGCACGGUAAACGAUGGAUGCCCGCUGUUGGUCUGAAUAGGUCAGCGGCCAAGCGAAAGCAUUAAGCAUCCCACCUGGGGAGUACGCCGGCAACGGUGAAACUCAAAGGAAUUGACGGGGGCCCGCACAAGCGGAGGAACAUGUGGUUUAAUUCGAUGAUACGCGAGGAACCUUACCCGGGCUUGAAUUGCAGAGGAAGGAUUUGGAGACAAUGACGCCCUUCGGGGUCUCUGUGAAGGUGCUGCAUGGUUGUCGUCAGCUCGUGCCGUGAGGUGUCGGCUUAAGUGCCAUAACGAGCGCAACCCCUCUCCUUAGUUGCCAUCAGGUUAAGCUGGGCACUCUGGGGACACUGCCACCGUAAGGUGUGAGGAAGGUGGGGAUGACGUCAAAUCAGCACGGCCCUUACGUCCGGGGCUACACACGUGUUACAAUGGCAGGUACAGAGAGACGGUCCCUUGCAAAAUGGAUCAAAUCCUUAAAGCCUGUCUCAGUUCGGACUGGGGUCUGCAACCCGACCCCACGAAGCUGGAUUCGCUAGUAAUCGCGCAUCAGCCAUGGCGCGGUGAAUACGUUCCCG
rnacentral:rRNA from 1 species